UGGUGAUCAAAUCUCAUUGAAGGAAGGUCGGGGCUCAAAGAGGGUUUUUACAAAACUCCAACCUGUCAUUUUUUGAGGGGUUUAGUAACUGACAGCUAUAUGGUCUGAAGGUCUGGGACAAUGGAAUAAUAAUUUGGACAUCUGAGCGUCGUCUUCACGUUGUUGGGCUCUGUUUAUCCAGAUGAAGAAAUCAAAGUUGUCCUUCACGAAUAAUUAAUGGCUUUUCCAACAAGAUCCUAAAAGGAAAAUAGAAAAAGAAAAAUGAUUCGAGCCAGUUUCCUUGAUACUGACUUUUUUGGAAGCUAAACCUGUUAAGUGUUGCUUUUAGUUAUGCAUGUUCAGAUAAAAGGAAUUAUUAGGCAGAGUAAUUCCAAUGGAUUCAAAUAAUAUGAUCAUCAUUUGCAAACUGAAAUUUUUAUUACGCUUCAAUUGCCGUAAAAAAUAAUUUCAUAACGAGACCAUUAGAUGAGUGCUAAUGUUGGACGUGCAUUCAGUUGUAUACUGAAAAUUUUACCAUAAGGAUGUAAUACAUUAAUAUUUAUUUAUUUGCAACAGUAAAAAUUUAAUGUUAUUACUUUUAUCCUCUGAAGUUGUUAAAUCCAAAGAAAUAUUGUACCAUCUCUCUUUGGAUUCAGACUUCAAAGGUUAAAGGGAAUAACAUUACUUGUAUAGCCUGUACUAUAACAUUAUUUAUAAAUUAUUUUUAUUUAUUACUGUUGUUAUAUCAAGUAUUUUACAUGAUAAAAAAAAGAGCUCUUAUAAUAGUAACAUAACUGAAUUUUUACUACAUUACACUUCUUUUUCCAUACACACAGAAUAAUACCUUUGGAAUAUUGUGUUGAUCACUUCAAUGUUUACUCUGUAUCCAAUGAUAAUUUUCAAUUUGAUUUAAUAUAUUUAAAUUUAUUUUAACAUAGUUACCAAAAACGUUACCUACGGUAGUAUGCUAAUAUCUUUAAUAAACAUAAUAGUGUGGUUUUUUAUGCUGCUUUUUUAUAUAUGAACAACUUUUUGCUUGUAUGUACUUAAAAUACUUCUACUUUAUAGACUGGCACAAAUAUUUCAUUUUAUUUGAAAGAAAACAAAACACAAAUAAUGGACCUUAGUUUGAGAAGGAGAAAGAGCCCAUUUGUGACGACAAUGCAUUUAAUGCAUUUGAGCACGUUAUAUUAAAUCAUUUUCAGUAUACUAAUCAGCAGGUCACUUGACAACAGGAAUCAAUAUAAAGACGCUGGAAUGUCAUGUAUCAGAACUACAUUUUGACAUUGUUCAGCAUCUUGUAGCUAAUAUGAUGCCAUAAACAACUGUUCAAUAUGGAAGAAGGAUAUGUAACAACCCUUUCUGAAUCAAAAUAUUCAUAUACACUCAGAUCAUAGAGAUGUGUUCAAAUCGGAAGAAAUUCCAAGGUGGGCAUAUCUUUUAUGCUUAGUAGUAUUUGAAAGGAAAAUAAUAUGGAUCAACAUGGGGAACCAAGUUCAUCCAGAAAGGGGUCCAAACCAUGGUAAACAAAUUACAGAGUUUUGGAACAGACGAGAAUCCAUGAACACAAAGGUCAAUGGAAAAAUCCACUUUUCUCGGGCAACACUAUGGAAAAUAUUGAAAGAUCCCAGUUUAGGAAAUGGACAUUCAUUCGUUCAACUAUUACAUACCUGAAGUAGCUUGAUAAUGAAACAUUUAUCGUGAUACUUCACACCAAUAAAUGGCUUGCCACCAAAUGGGAACUCUAUAUUAGUUAUGUCAUGAAGAAAUCACAUUAUUAUUAUUACAUUUAAAGGGGUAAGGAUAUCAUUAGAGCUUCAUAUAAGAUGAAAAGGCUUGCAUCUCUUAGAGCACACAUACGGGAAAGUAGGAGCUAUUGUCUAGCAGUGGCAUUGGUAGCUAUGGAAGGUACAACAAUUAGGAAGGAAAGUUGCAGCAAUACUAUUUCAAGCAGAUACAAUAUGAUCUUGACCUUGAAGUUUAGAUGCUAAAUAAUUAUAAGCAUAAAUUUUCUCUAACCCUUCAGAACUAUCUAGAAAGAAAUGAUAGUUUAAGGGGUUAAGUUCAAUAGUAAAAUCAUUCAUUGCCCAGAGAAAGCGCGUGCAAUGGCGUAUUGUUCUCUAUUUAAAGUAUGUUUAACUUCAAGGCUGUGUUGUAAUUGAAACUAAUUGUAUACAGGAAAACGUACUUGCAUAGCAGACAAAUGAAAAUACAUUAAACCUUUUACAUGUUCCACCGAGAUGAUAGAAGAUCCUGAAGAUCAGGAUGUUUUGCAAUAGGCUACGGUUGACAAUGAUGAUAAUUCAGUAAAGUGCAAGAUGAGAGAAUCAAUCGCUUGAUAGGAAGUGGAGGAAGGAAAGAGGUGGGGCCAUUAUUAGUGAAUAAGGUUGUGAUAAAAACAAUUCAGAGUUAGUCCUUAUUUUUGAUAGUUAAUAUUUUUAUUUGUACGAGUAAAAACGAUUACAUAGUAAAUAAAUUGGGUUAUUGUUCAAACCUUCAAAUGAAUACUACAGAAAGUAUUAAGCAACUUUAGUACAGGAAGGAAAAGGGGAUCAAUGGUUGCAAUAAACUGGUAAAACAUGUCAGUACUAAGUUGAUCAGAAAAAUGUAGAAACAGCUACCACACCACCAGUUAUAAGUUAUUAUGGUGUUCAAAAUUAAGUUUUAAAGAAAGAUAACAUAAUAAUAAUCGCUAAAGCAUACAGAGUUUCCAGAUCCACAAACACGUCUUUUCUACAUAGUUACACAAACUUUUAAAUAGGUCAACAGACAACUUUCAGAAAUAUUUGAACAAAAAUACUCCACAAAGAAUAUUGAAAACAUUAUCGUACAUGAUGAAGAUACACGUCAUUAAAAUCUGGUUAUGCCAUAAAGCAUGUUGUUACACUUAUACUGUGAGCUAAAAAUGGCUGCUGCUAUGACUUUGCUUAGUUUAUGAGCUCGUUGCUGUCCUAAUUUUGAAUCUUCUUUUAAAUAAGCUCUUAAAAAUAUUAAAAAACAGAGAGAAAGGG